UUACUUGGGCUACAAACCGAGGAAUCUGUUCCUACUCCUUGGACCCAGGGCAAAGUCCCCAGACUUCCAGCAGAGAGUGCCACGUGCUCCUGCACAUCGACCUUCCCUGCAUCUCACAAAGCAAGAAAUGUUAAUAGAUAUUUAAAACAGCCAUA
rnacentral:sRNA from 1 species